GCCUUCGUGGUGUAAUGGUCAGCACGCUUUGCUCGUAUCUGAGAGAUCUGUGGUUCGAGUCCCGGGGAGAGCA
rnacentral:tRNA from 1 species